rnacentral:rRNA from 1 species
UACGUAGGGGGCAAGCGUUGUCCGGAUUUAUUGGGCGUAAAGAGCGUGUAGGCGGCUAGGUAGGUCCGUUGUGAAAACUCGAGGCUCAACCUCGAGACGUCGAUGGAAACCAUCUAGCUAGAGUCCGGAAGAGGAGAGUGGAAUUCCUGGUGUAGCGGUGAAAUGCGCAGAUAUCAGGAAGAACACCCGUGGCGAAGGCGGCUCUCUGGUACGUGACUGACGCUGAGACACGAAAGCGUGGGAGCGAAGCAGGAU